UACGUAGGGUGCAAGCGUUGUCCGGAAUUAUUGGGCGUAAAGAGCUCGUAGGCGGUUUGUUGCGUCGGCUGUGAAAUCCCGAGGCUCAACCUCGGGUCUGCAGUCGAUACGAGCAAACUAGAGUGUUGCAGGGGAGACUGGAAUUCCUGGUGUAGCGGUGAAAUGCGUAGAUAUCCGGAGGAACACCGGUGGCGAAGGCGGCUUCCUGGACCGACACUGACGCUGAGGCGCGAAAGCUAGGGGAGCAAACGGG
rnacentral:rRNA from 1 species